UACAGAGGCCUCGAGCGUUAGGCGGAAUCACUGGGCUUAAAGCGUGUGUAGGCGGAUUGGUAAGUACCUUGUGAAAUCCCACAGCUUAACUGUAGAACUGCUCGGUAUACUGCUGAUCUUGAGCCACUCAGGGGCUACCGGAACAAAUGGUGGAGCGGUGAAAUGCGUAGAUAUCAUUUGGAACGCCAAUGGUGAAAACAGGUAGCUGGGGGUGUGCUGACGCUGAGACACGAAAGCCAGGGGAGCAAACGGG
rnacentral:rRNA from 1 species